rnacentral:lncRNA from 1 species
GUCAGAUUUGUUUCCUGCUGAUGUAGUAGAGACUUGUGUAACUGUGGGUGAACUUUGCUGAUUGAAUGUCGGGCAACCGAUUGCUUUUCUGGCCCUUUGCUUUCAAUAGGAAUGGAUUAGACCAGUCCCUUAGGUUUUGGUGGAAAUAUCAGUUCAGAUUCAAUUUCCCCAACAGAAGCGCAUUCCCUGCCCAUCCAAAGGGGUUGAAUGGCCUAAUUCCCAUCCAUGUAUGCAAGUUUGCU